AUUGAACGCUGGCGGCAGGCCUAACACAUGCAAGUCGAACGAGUGGCGGACGGGUGAGUAAUGUCUGGGAAACUGCCUGAUGGAGGGGGAUAACUACUGGAAACGGUAGCUAAUAACGCAUACCAUCAGAUGUGCCCAGAUGGGAUUAGCUAGUUGGUGGGGUAACGGCUACCCAAGGCGACGAUCCCUAGCUGGUCUGGGAGGAUGACCAGCCACACUGGAACUGUGACAGGGUCCAGACUCCUACGGGAGGAAGCAGUGGGGAAUAUUGCACAAUGGGCGCAAGCCGGAUGAAGCCAUGCCGCGUGUAUGUAGAAGGCCUUGGGGUUGUAAAGUACUUUCAGCGGGGCGGCGUUACCCGCAGAAGAAGCACCGGCUAACUCCGUGCCAGCAGCCGCGGUAAUAC
rnacentral:rRNA from 1 species